rnacentral:misc_RNA from 1 species
UUAACUAUUGUAUAGUACUCAGACGACACAGACAGACAGAGUUUGGGUCCUCUGGCAGGCGCAGACCAGCCGAAGCCGGCGGUCCGAAGACGGGCCUGCCAAAGCAACAAAGGUACGGUAAACAAAGGGUGGGAGGUAUACCCCGAAGGGCAACGUCUCUUUAAUGAUCCUUCCGCAGGUUCACCUACGGAAA